rnacentral:rRNA from 1 species
UUGGAGGGCAAGUCUGGUGCCAGCAGCCGCGGUAAUUCCAGCUCCAAUAGCGUAUAUUAAAGUUGUUGCAGUUAAAAAGCUCGUAGUUGAAUUUCGGGAUCAAUGUUUCGGUCAUGCCGUUGGUAUGUACUGAUAUUAUUGAUUUCUCACCUUCUAAAGAACCGUAAUGCCAUUAAUUUGGUGUCACGGGGAAUUAGGACUGUUACCUUGAAAAAAUUAGAGUGUUUAAAGCAGGCUCACGCUUGAAUACAUUUUCAUGGAAUAAUGAAAUAGGACAUCCGAUUCUAUUUUGUUGGUUUCUAGGAUCGAUGUAAUGAUUAAUAGGGAUAGUUGGGGGCAUUAGUAUUCAAUUGUCAGAGGUGAAAUUCUUGGAUUUAUUGAAGACUAACUACUGCGAAAGCAUUUGCCAAGGAUGUUUUCAUUAAUCAAGAACGAAAGUUAGGGGAUCGAAGACGAUCAGAUACCGUCGUAGUCUUAACCAUAAACUAUGCCGACUAGGGAUCGGAUGAUGUUAAUUUUUUAAUGACUCAUUCGGCGCCUUACGGGAAAC